UCCGUAGGUGGAUCGGUCAGUCAGAGGUGAAAUCCUGCAGCUCAACUGUAGAACUGCCUUUGAUACUGCCGGUCUUGAAUUAUCGUGAAGUGGUUAGAAUAUGUAGUGUAGCGGUGAAAUGCAUAGAUAUUACAUAGAAUACCGAUUGCGAAGGCAGAUCACUAACGAUACAUUGACACUGAUGGACGAAAGCGGUGGGGAGCGAACG
rnacentral:rRNA from 1 species